AUACUUACCUGGCAGAGGAGAUACCAUGAUCAUGAAGGUGAUUUUCCCAGGGUGAGGCUUAUUCAUUACACUCCAGAUGUGCCAACCCCUGUGAUUUCUCCAAAUUCGGGAAGCAGGACUGCAUAAUAUGUGGUAGCAGAGAACUUUGUUUACCUCUCCCCUGA